GCCCGUCACACACGGUGUCUCCAGGAGAUGCGGGUUUGCCAGAUGCCAGCGGGGUGACCGGGGACACGGUGUCUGUGCUGAGCUGUCCUUCCCCACUGAGGGAUGCUCCUGGUGAUGCAGAUCUCCACUGCUCUCCUCCUUGGCUCUUCCGUGGGAGAAAAGUGAGGAGCAAAUCACACCCUGGAGAAUUCAGGGAACACGUGCCAGCUCUGGCUGUACAGCCACAGACUGGGGGACACUGGAAAUCCCAAACAUCCAGGGUGGCCAAGCCCCUGAUGGCUGCAGAGAGCUGAGAAUCAAAUUCCCGGGUGCAUCCCAGGGUCCCUGUGAAUCUGCUUUAGGAUGAGUGAGGAGCCCACCACAAAGCCAGUGCCCAAGAGACUCCUGUGACCAGGGCAGACCGUGUCCCCAGGGCUGGCAGAGAGGGGUGUUUGUGGGGUGUCUGACCAUUCUGCUUCCCUCCAGGUCCAGGGGCCGUGCCCGGAGUCGGAGGUGUCCCUGGCUUGGUUCCUGGCGUUGGAGGUGUCCCCGGGGCGGUGCCUGGUGUCGGAGGUGUCCCCGGGGUGGCAGGUGACUGUUCCAGGAGCCCUGUCCCCAUGGCCUGGCUCUGUGGGGCCAUGGUGGCUGAGGGUCCCUGUCUCUCUUGUCCCCAGGAGUGCCAUCGGCAGCAGCAGCAGCAAAGGCAGCUAAGUAUGGCGCCGCCGUUCCCGGUGUCGGUGUGGGCGGUGUCCCCGGCCUGGUGCCCGGAGUCGGAGGUGUCCCUGGCUUGGUUCCUGGCGUUGGAGGUGUCCCCGGGGCGGUGCCUGGUGUCGGAGGUGUCCCCGGGGUGGCAGGUGACUGUUCCAGGAGCCCUGUCCCCAUUGCCCGGCUCUGUGGGGCCAUGGUGGCUGAGGGUCCCUGUCUCCCUUGUCCCCAGGAGUGCCAUCGGCAGCAGCAGCAGCAAAGGCAGCUAAGUAUGGCGCCGCCGUUCCCGGUGUCGGUGUGGGCGGUGUCCCCGGCCUGGUGCCCGGAGUCGGAGGUGUCCCUGGCUUGGUUCCUGGCGUUGGAGGUGUCCCCGGGGCGGUGCCUGGUGUCGGAGGUGUCCCUGGGGUGGCAGGAGUGCCAUCGGCAGCAGCAGCAGCAAAGGCAGCUAAGUAUGGCGCCGCCGUUCCCGGUGUCGGUGUGGGCGGUGUCCCCGGCCUGGUGCCCGGAGUCGGAGGUGUCCCUGGCUUGGUUCCUGGCGUUGGAGGUGUCCCCGGGGCGGUGCCUGGUGUCGGAGGUGUCCCUGGGGUGGCAGGUGACUGUUCCAGGAGCCCUGUCCCCAUGGCCCGGCUCUGUGCGGCCAUGGUGGCUGAGGGUCCCUGUCUCGCUUGUCCCCAGGAGUGCCAUCGGCAGCAGCAGCAGCAAAGGCAGCUAAGUAUGGUACGUGCUGUGUGGGACCCAUGGUCACCGCCCUGCAAAACCUGGUGGGAUCGUGAAACACAUCCCACAGUUUCUAUCAGGACACAGAACUGAUCCUUGUCCUGCCCCGCUCGGGG
ensembl:lncRNA